CCUACGGGAGGCAGCAGUGGGGAAUAUUGGACAAUGGGGGGAACCCUGAUCCAGCCAUGCCGCGUGUGUGAAGAAGGCCCUCGGGUUGUAAAGCACUUUCAGUGAGGAAGAACGCCUGGUGGUUAAUACCCAUCAGGAAAGACAUCACUCACAGAAGAAGUACCGGCUAACUCCGUGCCAGCAGCCGCGGUAAUACGGAGGGUGCGAGCGUUAAUCGGAAUUACUGGGCGUAAAGCGCGCGUAGGUGGCUUGAUAAGCCGGUUGUGAAAGCCCCGGGCUCAACCUGGGAACGGCAUCCGGAACUGUCAAGCUAGAGUGCAGGAGAGGAAGGUAGAAUUCCCGGUGUAGCGGUGAAAUGCGUAGAGAUCGGGAGGAAUACCAGUGGCGAAGGCGGCCUUCUGGACUGACACUGACACUGAGGUGCGAAAGCGUGGGUAGCAAACAGGAUUAGAUACCCCUGUAGUC
rnacentral:rRNA from 1 species